AAUUAUUUAUGGCAAGGAUUAAUUAAUAUGUUAAUUAAUGAAACGAAUAAGUUCGUUAAAGACCUCGGGAUAGUAUUGGACCUUAAGGCCCAAUGGGCUUUGAACGUCAAGUCCAUUGACUUAAGUUGUAUGACAACUUAAUGAAUAAUGAUUCACAAAGGCCUAAUAGCCCAAUAAUACCCUAAGGCCAGCCAUUUAGAGGAAGGGUAGUGAACUUGCUUUAAUUACAAGUUUGCCACUCCAAUGAAUAAAGGUAUAAAUAUGACUUUAUAGCCAAAAUUCAUUUAGGGUUUUUUGAGGAAAUUGGAGAGAACACAAAGCUCUCCUUUCUCUCUAAAGAGGCCGGCCACCCUUGGAGGGAUUAGCUAGUAAUUUUUCUCCUCCAAGGUCACUCAUCUCUUCUUCACAUCUUACCUUGGUGUGGAGACUUAGAGGUUCUCAAUUUUGGGAACUUGGAGAAACCUAUUCUUCCAUCCAAAUCCAUGGAUCUAAGAAGUAAGGAUUGAAGGCCCUAUCUCUUGGGUGAUUAUCCUUUGCUAUUGCAAAGAGGAAUCUACAAAGGUAUAAAUUUCUCAACUCACUUUCUUUUGAGUUGAGUCUUGGUUCACCUAACUACUAGGCUUUGAAUUUUAUGGGUAAUGUUUUGUUUUGAGUGCAUGCAAGCAUGAUUCCGCCUUUAAUUUGUUAAUUGCAUGCUAUAGAUGUUGCUCAAAUGAACAUGUUUUUCACAAAAUUUCCUUCAGGCUUAACGACCUCGCAGUACAAUCCAAGUAAGGGGGAUGGCACCCCCGCACCUCCCUCUCUCUCCUACAUCUUUCAACGUUGUACGGGCCUAAGCCCAGCAGCCCAAGACAGACGCCCUAGCACCAAGGUCCACACGCAUAGGCCCGAGCCUAGCGCUCUUGGCCCACACCAACCAAUUGUCGCCAGCCCUCAGCCUGCACCAAGCUGAGCCACCUGCAGCAACCCAGCUACCACUACAGCAGCCACAUAGCUGCAAUGAUUUGUCCUACUCCUCGAUCCCCGUCGAGCCAAAAUUCGAGCCCCAGUGCUACAAAAAAUCAAGAAGAAAGAGAAAAUUAAUUUUUUCUUACCUUGGAGGCGAAGAAAAGCAACGGAACACAAUUCUUUGAACGGACAAGUGAAAAAGAUUGCUAGGGGAGGGGGAACAAAUAUCCUUUGGCUUUUUUCUUUCUUGUAGGAAUUUUAAUUUAUCUCCAAGUUUAUUUAAUAUCCUACUUAAGGCAAGCUUAAAUAUAUUAUGGUGGUGAUUAAAAUCCCUUUCCUAGAAGAAUUUAACUUCUAAGUCAAAGUGGGAAUCUAAAUCAAAUUGGGACUCAAACUCCAUGUCUACCCAUGCAGCUUUGGAUUACUACACCUCCUACCCUUUCUUGGGAGCAGCCCAACAAGUCUAGGGGCAUUUGUGGAGCCAAAAAUUAUCCCAAAAAUCAUGGAGCUAACACGUGGAUUAUUUCCUAUGAAGGAUAAGACUGCUCAAGGCACCCUUGCCCCAUAGAAAAUGUCAAAAUUAUUUAUGAUAGAAUAAUUCCUUAUUCUUAUCAAAAAUACAUUCCUAAUCAGAGAAAACUUAUUUUAAGUAAAUAAUUCUAAUUCCAUUUAUUUAAGAUAGGAAAUAUUAGGUUCCCAUCCCUAUUUUCCUACUCUAUUGAUUAAAACUUUAUUCCUUUUCAAUUUUUUAUCAAGGUCUUUAGAUUUUAAUAAACGUCAUUAAUUAUUUCAUUAAUAAAAUAUUUUUUAUUUCUAAAUAUAUUCAUAUAGUAUUAGAAACGUUACAUUUGUUAUAUUUAUAUUCAUGGCUA
rnacentral:lncRNA from 1 species